rnacentral:ncRNA from 2 species
AAUAUUGAAUAGUGUAAGAGUGCCUUAUUUAUUAGGAUAAUAGGGAAACCGGUGCAAAUCCGGUGCAGCCCCCGCUACUGUAUACGCGGAUGAAAUGAUUUGUAAACCACCGGCUCUUUGUUUAGAGCAUGGGAAGGUAAAUCAGAGUAAAUUGAUGCGUCAGCCAGGAGACCUGCUCUUUCUUUUGUAUGUAC